GAUGAACGCUGGCGGCGUGCCUAAUACAUGCAAGUCGAGCGAACAGACGAGGAGCUUGCUCCUCUGACGUUAGCGGCGGACGGGUGAGUAACACGUGGAUAACCUACCUAUAAGACUGGGAUAACUUCGGGAAACCGGAGCUAAUACCGGAUAAUAUAUUGAACCGCAUGGUUCAAUAGUGAAAGACGGUUUUGCUGUCACUUAUAGAUGGAUCCGCGCCGCAUUAGCUAGUUGGUAAGGUAACGGCUUACCAAGGCAACGAUGCGUAGCCGACCUGAGAGGGUGAUAGGCCACACUGGAACUGAGACACGGUCCAGACUCCUACGGGAGGCAGCAGUAGGGAAUCUUCCGCAAUGGGCGAAAGCCUGACGGAGCAACGCCGCGUGAGUGAUGAAGGUCUUCGGAUCGUAAAACUCUGUUAUUAGGGAAGAACAAAUGUGUAAGUAACUAUGCACGUCUUGACGGUACCUAAUCAGAAAGCCACGGCAAACUACGUG
rnacentral:rRNA from 1 species